rnacentral:lncRNA from 1 species
AGAGGAGGUUCCAUUGAAGAGGAGCAGGAGACAAAUAGUUGUCUCCGCCCACCUAUAAACAUUUGAUCCCGCCCACAUUUAGCCCCGCCCCGAUCUCCAGGAGGCAGCCAGGGGCUACUCCCUGGUUCAGACCAGGAAACGCCUUACCGCCAGGUGCGUUAAAACCCUCACAACCCAUGGCUGUGGUGUUUGAUUCUUCAGCGAGAGAUAUCGGAGGUGUGGCGUGAGAGCGUGUGAAGAGAGUCAGAUGCUUGUGUUUCACACUCAGUGUGUGAGAGAUGCAGCCGUACAUAUUAGUAACAAUAUGAAUAGAAACACUAGACAGUGUUCAUCUGCACCAACAGCCUGUGCUCGUGGAUUCAGAUCUAUCAUUCUGGAAUCCAGGGCCACAAAAAUUUCUCUGAGGACCUCAAAUGGCCCACGGAGCAGACUUUGGACCCCCUGAACUUUGAGACCUUGACACGAUCCUUAUCUCUGAUGGCUGGCUGUAACUGGUUUAUGGCUGAGACUUUGGGUUGUUUAUCAGUUCUCAUCAGAUGAAGAAGAAACCCAAACCGGUUGAGACUGGAUCUAAUGUGGACAAAAGAGAAGAAACAAACUAAAGUGUGUGGAUCAGGUGAGUUGUUCUUGUUCUCCUGUCAGAGAGAACUUUCCUCUCUGGAUCGUUGCUUUGCUUCACCUUCAGAUCAAACUGUAGCGUCACGUCUCACCGUCUCACUUCCUGUUGGUUCUCACUAGAAAACACACUUGCUGUUGUUUUCUUUAGUGGAGAAUCCCAGUCUGUCUAACUGGUUCAUCUCUGGCUCUGACUGACUGAAGAGGAAGAUGGACGUUUAUGCAGAAGAAGAGGAGAACAGAGCAGAACCUUCAGGAUCCAGCUGUCCUCCUAUGAAGAGCAGCUUCUCGCAGCCCAGACCUCCAGACCUCAGUGGAGCAGAACCUCCAGGACCCAGCUGUCUGUCUAUGAAGAGUGACUGGUCCAGGCAUCGUCCUCCAGACCUCAGUGGACCCGGACCUUCAGACACAAAAUGUCAGAACCACAGAUGGAGAGCAGAACCUCCAGGACCCAGCUGUCUGUCUAUGAAGAGUGACCGGUCCAAGCAUCGUCCUCCAGACCUCAGUGGACCUGGACCUUCAGACCCAAAGUAAGAAAACAGUUUCUAACUGGUUCUUGAUGGGGCGACGGUGGCACAGGAGUUAAGUAAUCGGAAGGUUGCAGGUUCGAGUCCCGCUCAGUCUGUCGCUGUCGUUGUGUCCUUGGGCAAGACACUUAACCCACCUUGCCUGCUGGUGGUGGUCGGAGGGACCGGUGGCGCCAGUGCUCGGCAGCCUCGCCUCUGUCAGUGCGCCCCAGGGCAGCUGUGGCUACAUCGUAGCUCAUCCCCACCAGUGUGUGAAUGUGUGUGUGAAUGGGUGAAUGACUGAUUGUGUUGUAAAGCGCCUUGGGGGGUUCCAGGACUCUAGAAGG